rnacentral:rRNA from 1 species
UACGGAGGAGGCAAGCGUUAUCCGGAUUUAUUGGGCGUAAAGCGUCCGCAGGUGGUUGAUCAAGUCUGCUGUCAAAGCGCGAAGAUUAACUUCGUAAGGGCAGUGGAAACUGAUGAACUUGAGGGAGAUAGGGGCAGAGGGAAUUCCUAGUGUAGCGGUUAAAUGCGUAGAGAUUAGGAAGAACACCGGUGGCGAAAGCGCUCUGCUGGGUCCCACCUGACACUGAGGUACGAAAGCUAGGGGAGCGAAAGGG